AAGUAAAAUUAAUGGAUCUUAAAAUUUGUUUCCAACAUAUAAAAUCAGUCGCACGCAACACAGUGUAAACACUUCUAACAGUACGUUGCAUAAGAAUACUAAGUUGAGUGAAUUAAAAGGGCGGUAACAAUAUGAGUGUCAGAAGCAUCACAUUAAGAUGGAGUUUGGAAUUUUUGGUUUUUACUUAACUUUUAAAUGAUUUCAAGAUUGAAUAAACACAAAACAAUACUUUGAAUUUUAUUAAUUAAUUUUAUUGAAUUUUUAUAUGGAGAAAAAUUGCAAUACUAGCUUCGUUAGAAAGUUUGUACGAUAAAUGCUACGGACGUAUAUUUGUGUAUUGCCUGCUGUUUUCGUUUAAUGUUGCAAAGAACACAAGUCAACUAAUUUGCCGCAGCUCUAACUGCUGUAAUCUAUAAAGUUCGCUAUACAACAAACGAACACAAGGAAACAAAUAGUCACCUAUAAUUUUCUCUUCUUAAAUUAGUCUUAAUUUUUGGACUGAAACUUAAACAGUAAAACGAAUAGCUUAUAAUAUGAAAAGUUGUUUUAGAAGGGCAAAAUGUUAGAAAAAGUUAUCGAUUACACAACAAUAGGAAACUACCCUUUUACUAUGAUUUUGAGCAAAACCAGUAAACCAAUCCAUAAAUCACAAUAUGUAGCUUUAUUCAUGCUUUUAUCUUUUUUUUUUAACGAAAGCUUAUGUUUAAUAAGCUCGACUCUC